rnacentral:rRNA from 1 species
CGCUGGCGGCGUGCCUAACACAUGCAAGUCGAACGAGAAAGUGGAGCAAUCCAUGAGUAAAGUGGCGCACGGGUGAGUAACACGUGACUAACCUACCCUUGAGUGGGGAAUAACUUCGGGAAACCGAGGCUAAUACCGCAUAACACCUACGGGUCAAAGGAGCAAUUCGCUUAAGGAGGGGGUCGCGGCAGAUUAGCUAGUUGGCGGGGUAAUGGCCCACCAAGGCUAUGAUCUGUAUCCGGCCUGAGAGGGCGCACGGACACACUGGAACUGAAACACGGUCCAGACUCCUACGGGGGGCAGCAGUGGGGAAUUUUGCGCAAUGGGGGAAACCCUGACGCAGCAACGCCGCGUGGAGGAUGAAGUCUCUUGGGACGUAAACUCCUUUCGACCGGGACGAUUAUGACGGUACCGGAAGAAGAAGCCCCGGCUAACUUCGUGCCAGCAGCCGCGGUAAUACGAGGGGGGCGAGCGUUGUUCGGAAUUAUUGGGCGUAAAGGGUGCGUAGGCGGUUCGGUAAGUCUUGUGUGAAAUCUUCGGGCUCAACUCGAAGUCUGCACGAGAAACUGCCGGGCUAAAGUGUGGGAGAGGUGAGUGGAAUUUCCGGUGUAGCGGUGAAAUGCGUAGAUAUCGGAAGGAACACCUGUGGCGAAAGCGGCUCACUGGACCAUAACUGACGCUGAUGC